UACGUAGGGUGCGAGCGUUGUCCGGAAUUAUUGGGCGUAAAGAGCUUGUAGGCGGUUUGUCGCGUCUGCUGUGAAAAUCCGGGGCUCAACCCCGGACUUGCAGUGGGUACGGGCAGACUAGAGUGUGGUAGGGGAGACUGGAAUUCCUGGUGUAGCGGUGGAAUGCGCAGAUAUCGAGAGGAACACCUGCGGCGAAGGCGGGUUGCUGGGCUGAUACUGACGCUGAGGCGCGAAAGCCAGGGGAGCGAACGGG
rnacentral:rRNA from 1 species